CGAGGACAUGCAUCAUGGUGCUACUAAGACCGACUUCGUAGACCUUCACCUCUGCAGGGUCACAACUGAAGCAAGACAGGUUAUAUUCUACCCUCUAAGUCAAAAUGGAGGACAUUGAAUACAGUGUGGACAUCUCUGACCGUGACUGGAAAGGCUUUUUUGCUGAGUGCGAAGAGUCUAGCAUACUUCCUCCUUCAUUAGGUGUGGACGACUCAGGGAUGAGUGACAUUGAUGAUACAGGGUCCAUUCUCGCUAAGAGAGUUCAGAAAGUCGACCUAACAGCAAGCUUUUCAGAGGCUGACCGCCCCAUCGAUGGCCCACCAGACUGUGAGGGCUCUCCUGUGGAGCACUACCUCAGUAACCACCCCAUCGGUGGAAUGGAGAGCGUGCUCUCGGGAAGUGAGGAGGACAUACACCUGCAGUCUGUCAAUAUAUUCUUUGAAAAGCUGAAAAGUCUUACAGAGGCAGAAAGGCUUAUAGAGCCAAACCAAGAGCGAGAUGGAAAAAAACAGGAGGCAAUACAGGAGGAGGAGCGGAGUAGUGACGGGCAACAAGCCAGCAGCAGAUUUUUGCCAAAACACAUCCUUAAGUUAAGUUCUCUUCCUGCCAGCGGUGAAACAGCAGUUGGCAAAGAGACCACAAGUCCUGUCAACACCAUUAUCAAAAUAAACACAAUGAAAAAAGACGUGCCUGGUCCGAACCUUUCCACUAAACAUGCAGCCAGUAUCGUAGUGCUCAAGACUAAGAAAUCAGCUUACCCCAAAACAGGUUCCUUCAUCAGAGAGGAAGCCUGCACAGAAACCAUAAUCACCGAAGCAACACGGCUGAAUCAGUCUCAAGACACACUGGAGGGGGUUUUAUGCUCAGAAACAACACCUCACGCUGACAAAGUGAUAAAGGCGGAAAUGUGCACACUUCUGGAUGAUGUGAAGCAGGACGAUUUGUUGAUGAGUAAAUUAAGUCUCAGUAAAGAGUGUAGCACUGAUCCUUCAAAUAAUCAAGAAAUAGUGACACCAGUUAAACCGAAUGUAAACCCAGAAGUUCUACAGUCAGACGCAACAACAGCGAGCCAAGAAUUGUCUCCAUCUGCUUCUUUCAAAAGAAAAAGACGAAGGAAGAGACGACUUAAUGUUGAGCCAGCUGAUAUUGGGCAUAAAUAUGAGAUGCAGGAGUUAGUGAAGCCGAGUGACUCAGAGGAGGAACAGGUCGCGUGGAGAGAAAGAACUAGUUUCUGUUUAUCUGAAAAUACUAAUUUAUCUUAUUUAAACCAACGACGAAGAAGUGUUUUAUCCUCUUUAACUCCACUUUCAGCCACCAGACAUCUCCCAGUGAAGAUUUCUCCUAAGGAUAUCAAAGUAAAUGAUUUUCCAUCAUUUGACAGUCAAUAUCAAUAUUCAAAAGAAAGCAUUGUCAGAAAAGGAAAGUUUAAAGCAACACGUUUGGCUGAAAAUAAUGUACCUAAUAAUAGGUCAAUAGACCCCCUGAGUCAAACUGUAGAAACCGUAUUGUUACCAUCAAACAACAGUGGUAAUGUGGCAACAAAUGUACAGCCAUGUAGCAAAUUACAUGCAGAAGAUUCAACUGUGUUGCCAGAUUCAAUUACUAACACUGUAAUUGGUAUAUCAACCUUGGCAAUAGAAACAGCAAACUGUGAAAGGCAGGAUAUUCAAGCAAGGAGUAUCAGGCAGUCUAAUGAAAUCAAUAAUUAUAUUUUUAAUGAAAAUAAACCAAAUCUAGGAUCUUGUACAGCAGAGGUCAAAUCAAUAAGCAUUUUACCAAGUGCAGAGUCAGAUAAUCCUGCGGUGGAAGUCAGCCAAAAUGACAAACUAUCCGCUGCUAAGUCGGUCCUGGCUGUAGAGGCCGGAAAUUCUGGCAGAGACAACUACACACUGUGUCAAAGAGAGGUUGAGGCCCAACAACAGCUGGAAAUUGACUGUGACAUAGACCAAUAUAGAUCUACACUGGAAAAUACUCACUUUCCACUGUCUGCAAGCAGUUUUGAUGCACGCACCACAAAAUGUAAGAAAUUAGAAACUAGUGGCUGCCCCUUCUUGGAGAUUUCCAGUCAAGUGGGCUGUGCUAAAUCAUCAUUAGAUACCAGCAAUGAGCCUGAUAAUCAUGAUCAGUCUGAAAGUCCCUCCAGUUCAGAUAUAAAUAUUAUAGCACAGCAAACAGAAUAUGCCCGGUUGCUCCACACAUUAUCCAAAUGUGAUGGUUUGUUAGAGAAAAACACAAGUGACCGAACUGAAUUAGGAGCAUCACAAUCUGCUGAAAUUAAUUCAACCAAACCAUCCAUGUCAAAAGACUUACUAAUAAGUCAUUUAGAUACUAUACCAGCAUCAUCCUGCUGCACUCUUGACACCAAAUCUGUCAUGUCACUCUCACAUGAAAAUAUCACAGACAUUUCAGGAAGUUCUUGUUUAUCUGUCAAUCAAAAUGACCCUGAAGAUCAAGGCAUAAAAACAUCACUAAUACUGUCCAAACACGAGGAAGGAGAUGGCACAUCUGAUUCCAAAGACCGGUAUAUAUCACAUGACUCGAUAGGUUCAAAAUGUGAUUUAAUGGACACAGCAGAAGACGUCAUCACAGUAUCUGAAGCAAAAUGCGAACUUGAAAAGGCAUCAAAACAUUCAGUAUUCGCUAUGUCUUCUUUUUGGAGUGAGAUGGAGAAGUUGACAAUAAAUGAUAUUCUUGGUUUACGAAUGAUCAGAAAUGGUGUUCCACGCAGCCCACUCCCACCUCUCAAGGAAAGUGAGGAGACGGACAUGUCUGCUAUGACAGAUUCAGGCAUUUUUACUCAUCCUGAAGAGUCCAAGGCUGAACAAACCAAUAAAGACAUAUCCAGUGAUCCUAACCCUGCAGAAUCAAGUUCUGUUAUAGGGGAAGAUUCUUCAUCUUCAAGUGAUGUUAUGUGGGAGAGUCUAGAGGCUGAUAUCUACCCUGAAAAUAUGACGUUGACAUCUGCUGGUGACACUUCUCAACCGGUCUUCCCUGCAGGUUCUCAAACAUGCCUAAGACAAAUGUCAAAAAAUGUAAGCGUUGACAAUCUACAUGCCCUUAAUUAUGAGUCUUUCUGCUACAAAAGGAAAGGCCCAACUUUACAAACGGUAGACGAAGGAGAAUUCCAACAAGAAGAGCAUCACAGUGUUGGACACAUGCCUAAGCAAGACAAACACUUGGACUCUUUAUCUUCAUUUCCAACAGACAGCUACAAAGUGUCUCUCUCAAAUAUAUUUCAGUAUGUCUUUGGUGGAAAGCCAUCAAUUCCCAGCCACUCAGCCACAGAUAACAUCCCCACCUCCUACAGUGAAGGAAAUUCUGUCCCUGAAACUUAUGAUCAUUUCUUCUCAGAGUUUGAUACAGAAAGCUUCUUCUACCCUCUCAUCACCAAUAACGAGCUGGUUCCUAUAUUUUCCUACUCUCACUCAGCUACUAGAGAUCUGCAGUUCCCAGAGGCCUAUGAGCACUUCUUUGCAUCUUCUUCUUCUGAUGAUUCUUCUGGGGAAUCUGAUGGAGAAGAUAGCUGCAGUCCUGUGAGGGUGGUGAGCAGAUUCAGCCGUACAACUAGCGCCUCUCAGAUUUCUACAGACAUAUAUGAACAUUUCUUCACUGAUGGAGAUCUCAGACAGAAUUUCUUUUGGAAUACCACAUUGUCCUUUAGGAAUAUGAGUUUGACUAAAUGCACUGUUCACAAGGAAACUCUCUCAAACCCUCUAUCUAGUGUACCUGUGAGUCAAAGUGGCAGAUCCAUUGGAAGGAUAGUUCAUCCCAUAAAUGCUUUCGGAAAUCAAGACAUCAUGUUGGCUGAUCCACUUAUCCACCACCUGGACAACAGGAUCUACACACAACUAAGGCAUCAGCCUUUCAGUUUUGAGGACUUACAGAUGACUGUUUCAAAUCCAAGGCUGGAUGCCUCCCUCCUGCCUCUAAGACAGUCCGAUAUGUGUCUGGUUUGUAUUGCAUUUGCUUCGUGGGUGCUAAAGACGGCAAACCCACAAGUUGGAGACACAUGGAAGACUGUUCUGCUGGCAAAUGUAAGUGCUCUGACAGCCAUCAGAUACCUGCGUAAAUACGUCAAGAUGGAGGCUGCAACAAGUGAGAAGAAAUUGAAGUACACAGCCCCGUCUGAUUCUUGAUGUGGUUGUGUUGUUAAAUGUUUGCAUUACAUAUUUGCACUAUAAUUGCUUCUUGUUAAGUUAACCCUACCAUUGAAUGGAUAUGGGCAAGGGUUUCAUUUAAAUAAUUUGUCUGUUAUUUUGACCUUUAACGUCUGAAAGCAUUCAUAGUAGAUAUGAAAAGACCAAAGGCAAGACCAGAUGUGUAUUUAUCAGAAAGAAAGCUCUAGAUAUGUGUAAAUAAGGUUUCAGUAUGUGCGUACUGAAGAGAGAUUAAAGGUAAAUUCGCUGCACAGAGUUAGGAUGUUAGAUGGAAAUGUGAUAAAAUGAUUAACUUAAGGCAUUUGAAGCGUUUAGGAUGGUUUGUUUUUAUCCCGUUCCAUUAUUUUAGCUGGUGAAUUUUUUUCCAAAACUACUGUGUAAAAUAUUACAAUGAAAAUAUUGAACAUUUCUUUUACAAAUUAAAAUGGUGACUAUCUAUCAGAAUGAUUUCCAAAAUGGGAAUUAAUCAAAACAUACUAAUAAACGUAACAUAUUCCGUUAUGUAAUUCAUGAAGGACAUUUUGUGUUCAUGUUGAUUGUAUUUUUUUGGAUGGCUGUACAACUUUUUCUGAUAAAGACUGUUCUGCAAGA